CAUCAAAGAUGAUAUUUGUUUUAUUAUAGUCAACAUGCAGGCAUCAUGUUAUCUUAGUCAUACCAAGACUAGGUAACUAAACUGCCAGGUUUAAUGUUUCAGGUCACAUCAGGGAAUAGUUUUACCAGCAGAUGUAAAGAUCGUCAUUUGGAGUGGGUAGCACUCAAGGUCAGAGUCAGCAAAUCCUCCUCUAAAAAUAGACUUUACUUGCACAGUUAGUAAGGCUUCUUUUGUCGUUCUGCUGCACUUCACAGGACCCAGUUACUUACUGCACCCACCUAAGCUUACAGUUUCUCACACAUCUUGAGAGUGUUACUUCAUGGACAAGAUGUCAUCAGGAAGCUGGAUUGCUGGGAAGAAAAAUGCAUAUACAGCAGUCAAAGUAGAUCCUGAUGGGGACUAUUGUACCCCAGGGGCAUUUGAACUGGAGAGGCUCUUGUGGAAGGGCUGCCCAAAGUACACUCACGUCAAUGAAGUCUGGCCCAACCUCUACAUAGGAGACGAAAAAACUGCGCUGGAUCGCUACAGCCUGGAGAAGGCAGGAUUCACCCACAUCCUCAACGCGGCCCACGGGCAGCGCAACGUGGACACGGGAGCACAGUAUUACAGCAGCAUGACUGUGGAGUACCAUGGCGUGGAAGCAGAUGAUCUCCCCACUUUCGACCUCAGCCAGUUCUUUUAUUCGGCUUCCAAAUUCAUUGAUAAUGCACUUCAGGAUGAAAGAAGCAAGGUGCUGGUUCACUGCGCCAUGGGCCGCAGCCGCUCCGCCACUCUGGUCUUGGCUUACCUGAUGAUUUACAAGAACAUGACAGUGGUGGAUGCCAUUGAGCAAGUGUCACGGCACCGCUGCAUCAUGCCAAACCGGGGCUUCUUGAAACAGCUGAGAGAGCUGGACAUAGCGCUGGCACUGCAGAGGAGGAACAGCAAGAACAGCCUAGCACCUGCUGAGCAGCAGAACAGCACCACCAUCUAGCAUUGUCCUGGCAUGGCUGUGCUACUGGAAAAGAAACUCCAUGAAAGGAGGGGAGGGGAAGGGUGUAUGCAAUUAUGAUGAGUAACCUACGCUUAAGCUCUAAACAGCCUAAUCCAAACCCCACCGACUGUAAUGGGCUUUAGAUCAAGCACGUGAGAGCACUGUAACAAACACUGUUUCAGGAGGGAAUUCCCAUGCAACAUCAAACUAUGACAAGACACAAGAGGCUAAAAAUGGCUCAUCAUAAUUUAUUUUAUGUUAAAAUGUACAGCUUGGGGGGGGGGGGGGUGUAGUUUUUUGCAGUUUUUAUUUUGUUGCUUGGGUGGGUCUUUUGUGGGUAUUUUUUUAAGUGACUGACUAAAAAGAUAACAGAUAAAUACAAGAGUGUCACUGGGUCCUAUUUUUACAUGUAUCAAGCCUCUUCUGUUCGGCCCUUACAGUCACUCUGUACAGGUACAAAGGCUACAAAAAAGGAAGCAAUAUAAACAGACACAAAUAACUUUUGCCUUUUUACAUGCGAUCUGUAAGCUUAGUUUGAGCUAUUCACACGCUACUGCUCUAUUUUUUCCCUUAAAAAAUAACUCCAAUAUUUUAUAAAGAUAGAAAAAUCUACAGAUGGAAUGAAAAUGUAAAGUUAGAGGCAUUUCCAUAAAAUAGCAACUUUACACCAAAUUCACUACUUUUUUUUUUAAAUCCUGCCAAGUAUUUGGACAUAUACGAAAAUGUUUCAAAACUUGACAAAUAAACACUGAGAUGUUUCAAUCAACAAAAAAACGUAAGUUUUUAUAAAACAGAAAGCUGCCUUUUUUCCUACCCAGCCCCAAAGAAACUGGUCACAAAAAUGGAAAAGAGUCUCAACUUUACACUAAACAUACAGCAAUAAAACCCUUUGAACUAACCAAAAUGUGAAUAGCUUUUGCAGCUUUUUUUAUUAUUUUUACAAGUUUUAUAAUUAACAAAAAUAUAGUUCUGGUUUUUUUUUACCCCUCAAACUAGGGUAACCUAAUCAAGGCAAAAAAAUUAAGAAAUGGCUUACUGUUAAGCACAACACUUGUACAGUACUACAAAAUGCACUGUCACUAACAAAGACAUUAGCGGCAUGCAGAAGUGUCACCUUCAGAAACAAAAUAAUACAAUAAAAGAACUGCUAAAAGGCAUUUACAUGUGGGGAAAGGAGAGAGAAAAAGCUCAUGAUCCAGUACUGUCUGAUAGUUUUGGAGUCUGUUUAUCCACAUUUUUAAUGGGAGCAGGCACAUAAAAUGGCUCUGAACCAUCA